rnacentral:lncRNA from 1 species
ACACUCAUCUUAGGCCCUGAGAUUUGCAAAUAUAGAAUUGCCUGCAUAAUAAGCAUAGACAUUUCUUUGCACGUACAGUUUCUGGAAGCAUUUAUCUCUGAGUAAUAUUGACUGAAGUACUCAAAUGACUGUACAUGUGCCUGUGACUGUGUGAAAGUUGACAGGAUGAGAACAUGUAUUUUUUGAGUAAGAAUUGUUUAAUGUGAUGUAGUUGUUGAAUCAAAACAAUAAUUAUUACAGCAAUUAAAGUACAAAACUUGAGUCAGCACGUUGCUUCUAUUCCUGACUCUCCCUGACUUUGUAAUUUUGGGCAAGUAACUUAGUUCCUGAUUCUGCAAAUGCUUUUACUUAUGCUUUACUUUAUUCCACACACACACACAAAAAUGUUUCUAACAGCACAUUAAUAUUUAUUUAACUUAAUAAAACAAGGAUCUGUUUCUGCUAUGACCGUGGGCACACAGCACAAUGAAGCAGAACAAAAGGUAUGGCAGGACAGGGCUUCCAUCCACUUUCUCUCCUUUGCUUUGCCUCUCCUCCUCCCUCAGACUCAACACGUGUCUCCAAGCUGUGAAUACUUGGAGACUGGGAUUUCCUUUUCCUACGUGUGCCUGAAUGCCUGUAGUGCUUCUAAACGCUGCACACAUACCCGGGGAUGAGGGAGACAACGACCAGGCCCUGUGGUACAAGCUACUGUGCUCUUUCAGCCAGAGCUGCUUUCUUCACUAGCUGAGUCUUCUCAGCAGCAGUCGAACGACAGACAGAAAGCGACGCAGCAUUAAGAGGAACUGGGCAGUAACUGAAGCAGUGGGAACAGUCUGGGAAGGGAAGGCUGAGCUCUCGCAGGAAGGAAUUCCCCCCGCAGAGAUAAGCCCUGACAGUGGGAGGGCUCGAAAGAGAGCUCCUCACUGGAGGAACUUGGAAUCCCGGCAGCAGCUCCACGCACUACGGUGUUACUCAGCACUCCGGCACCAGGAGGAUGCGCUAACCCCGUCCGACGGAGCUUCCUCCACCCUCCGCACCGCCCCCCUGCCCAGACGCCAGCCAUGUUCUCCGCAUCACCCCCACCCCGGGCACAGACGGCGCGGGGGGAAGGGCACCACGGCGCCUCCCGCUCCCACCUGCAGCCCCUCCCCCGCCGCUCCCCCGCCUGGCGCACACCCCCCGACCUGCCCGCUUCCUCGCAGACGUGACCGCCCACCUACGGCUCCCGACGGCAGCUCGCUCUCGUGUUGGCUGCUCGAGCUGACCGUCAACCGCCGCUGUCGGAGGGGCGUUGGAAGGCGGGGCCGGGCGCGCUGUCAGCGGGAGCGGCCGGAGGAAACGGCGGCGCUGGCGGGAGGCCAAAUAUUUGACGGAGCCUCU